UCGCACUCCAGCUGAGGCACUCUGUGCCAUCAUUCUGGAUUCUUCUUCUCCCUUUCGAUGUAGCUGAGCCACAUCACUGAGCAAAUUGACAGGCCUGGAGGAUAUUACGAUGGCUUCAAGGAGCUCGUGGAGGAAGACGAACGUGUCACCAGCUGAGGCCAUCCAUGGGCUCUGUCUGAUGUGCCCGCCUCGAGGAGAGAUUGACUGCAGACAAGUGCAUGCACCUGAAGACCCCGCCUGAACAGUGUAAUUGGCCUGGCCAGAAACUCAGCACCACUUUCUAAAUAAUCCACCAGCUCUGGAUGUUGGGGAAGAGUGAAAACCUGCCUCCGGGGGUGCUGAAGCAGCUCUCAGUGUGGCACUAUGAAUCCACUGCUCCUGGC